UAAACCAGCAGUGUAAACAGGAGUAGGGC
rnacentral:piRNA from 1 species